rnacentral:misc_RNA from 1 species
UAGAAUUGUAUUAUUUUCUUGAUAAAGUGAAGUAUAUAAUUGUACUAAUAAUGAGAAAACAUAUAUACUUCGACAUUAUUUAUGGACCAUUAUAAAUCUGUUGCUCAGACUCUUCAAAAAUGUCAAGCAAUGCGUGUUGAAUUUUAGAAAAUCCGAUACGAAUGCGCCGUUGAAAGUGAAAGAGUCCGUUCAACUUAGAUUAUAAUUAUAAUCUACUCUUCUUCAUUGGUCCCAUUUCCUUUGCCUUUGCCCUCAACAAAUGCUUUUGUAUUUUCCCAGUAGCAGUCUUUGGCAAUGGUCCAAAAACAACUGAUUUUGGAACCCAAAACUUAGGCAUUUUCGAUCGACUGAAGUUGAUGAUAUCGUCAGCCAACUUUCGUUGAUCUGUAUCCUUCAAAUCAGGCUUCAAGGUCACGAAUGCACACGGUGACUCACCCCAUUGCUCGUCGGGCCUUGCAACUACAGAGACCUCGAGUAUUGCAGGAUGUAAGUACAGGAAGUUUUCGACUUCUACACUACUUAUGUUCUCACCUCCAGAAAUGAUGAUGUCCUUUGAUCUGUCUUUGAUUUCUAUGUAUCCGUCUGGAUGUUUAACAGCAAGAUCACCCGAAUGAUACCAGCCUCCAGCAAAAGCUUCCUCGUUAGCUUUCGGAUUCUUCAAGUAACCUUUCAUUACAAUAUUACCUCUAAAGACGAUCUCCCCUAUUGUUUUUCCAUCUGCUGGGACAGGUUUCAUGUCGUUUGUACUGACAACGUCUAAAUGCUCUAGACCAACGUACCUGACACCUUGGCGUGCUUGUAGACGUGCUUGGAUGUCUGGAGGAAGUAAAUCCCACUCGGGCUUCCACGUGCAUAGAGUGGAUGGACCAUAGGUUUCAGAAAGGCCAUAAGUGUGUAAGACACGGAAACCACGUCGUGACAUUGCAGCAAGUACAGAUGGAGGAGGAGAAGCACCAGCUGUGCUUACGUGCACAAGACGAGGCAGAGGAAGGAUAGUCUCCUCUUUUGGGGCGUUAACUAUGGUGUUGAGUACCACCGGUGCAGCAGAAAAAUGAGUCACACCAAGAUGAGCUAUGGCUGAGUAAACAGCCUUAGCGGUUACCUGUCUAAGACAUAUGUUAGUCCCACAAACCAUAGCAAGUGUCCAGACGAAGCACCAACCAUUACAAUGAAACAAUGGUAGAGUCCAUAGAUACACAGCUCCCUCUGGCAUACUCCAAACCACCGCAUUACUCAUAGCCAUAAUAUAAGCGCCACGAUGGUGCAACACCACUCCUUUAGGACUAGCUGUUGUGCCGGAAGUAUAUCCCAGAGCAAUGGUUUGCCAUUCAUCCUCUGGUGCCUUCCACGUAAAGUCUGGAUCACCAGUUUCUAAGAAUUUCUCAUAUUCAAUUGCGCCUUUCUCAAGAGCAUAUUGAACCGGCGUUGGAUCACAGUUCUUAUCAGCAAUCACAAUCAACAGCGGAGCAUUAAAGUUUCCUUUACUGUUAUUUUCCCAUACUCUCAACGCUUCCUCAGCCAACGGAAAAAACUCUUGAUCCACCAUGACAAUAGAAGCUGAGCAAUGUCCCAAAAGAAAAGCAAUUGUUUCCGCAUUUAGACGAACAUUCACAGCAUUUAUAACAGCUCCAGCCAUUGGAAUUCCGAAAUGAGCUUCAUACAUAGCCGGGACAUUUGGGGCAAUAACCGCAACCGUGCUUCCAAAGGUGACGGAGUUUUUAGUUAGAGCAGAGGCUAAUAGACGGCAACGCCGGUAAGUCUGGUGCCAUGUGUACUCAACGGAGCCGUGAAUUAACGAUUUCCGAUUAGGAAAUACGGUCGCCGCCCUCUCUAAAAACGAUAACGGAGUUAACGCCGUGUAGUUCGCCUUGUUCCUGGGAAGAUCAUCAAUAUCUCUCUCCGGAGCCAUUUCUCUCUCUAUAAAACACACUCUCUCUCUCUCUAAAAAAACAGAGAGAG